UGACUCGGGCGCGGGUCCCAGCGGCAAUCUUCGGGCGCGUCCGCGUGGAGUUGCCACGAGCGAGUGAGGAUUUUGGUACGUGCUGUCGGCCCAAUGGCUGCUCAGCUCCGCGUGCUUUCCCGGGCUUCGGAGUGGUGCACGUGCAUGUUUGUAACUAACGCAGGCGAUGCCAAGAAAGCCCCAAACCAAAAGGUGUUUGCGCUGUGCGUGCUCGUGGUGCAAGGGGAACAGCGCCGAGUAGACUGAUAAAUCACACGUGCUCGACCCAGGGUUUGGGUACUUCUUAAAAAUGGGACUGACUGGCCAUAGCAUGGUGAUGCUUGGGGCAACAUUUCACACACACCCCACUUCUGUGAAAGCCCUGAAAGCUAUUGGGCAUGUUUUUUGAGUGAGGGAACAAUGAUACUGCUGCUCAUCUUCAUCUAUUCCUUGGUGUCCUGGGAGAUCUGUCAAAUUUUGUAGAAGACUGGGUUUUCUGCAUGCAUAACUCACAUUCCCUAAUGUGCUCAGGUUUUGGACUGGGUUUUUUACGGCACAAUACACCCUUAAAAUCAGCAUGGCCAGCCAUGGGCAGAUCACACAAUUUGGAGGAGGGAGGAAUCCUUCCGUUUUGUAGAGCAGUCUCCAUAAGGCUAGUAUGAAAUGUGGCUGGGUCUUCUACAUAAUCACUGGCUGCCAGAAGAGCCCUAUGAAGCCAGUGGCAUUGAGGACAAAAUUUACUUGUAUGCAAAAUUAGUUUGACUUUAAAUUGAUCUGUUUAGACAUUCGUUAUAUUUUAUCUUUUUUCCUCCUGUUUUUCAGAUGUAGGCAGACAAUGCCUAUUGAUGCGCUUUGCCAAGUUGCCAAAUACCACUUUACAAGAAGUUGGUAUGACAGUUCCUGAAUGUGGAGAAAAUUAGUCUGAAUGAAUAGAAGACUACAGUUUCUGUACAUAUGGCUUUGUAUACUAUGUAAAGAUUUCUACAGCUCAAGUUCGGCAGCAUUUCUUCCACCAGAAGAAUGUUCUGGAAGAAAUAUACAGGAAGAUGAGUUUUUAAAAGAUGGAAUUUGGAAAUCUGUAAAUCAUGGUAACAUAUUACUAGUAUGUUCACAAGAAGACUCAAAUAGCUUUUAACUAUAUGCGGCAGUGGUGGGGGAAUGGUCUUGGGUACUAAAAAAUAAAGACUAUAUAUUUAUUUUUAAUUGCUGCAUUUGUUGAAUUUUUUUAAGUACCAGCUUCUCAGUUAACUAAAAUCAGUUGUUAUACUGUGGUAAUAAAAUAUCGAUCCUGA